UCUCCGUUGGUGAACCAGCGGAGGGAUCAUUAUCGAGUUAUUCAACUCCCAAACCCUAUGUGAACUUACCACUUGUUGCUUCGGCGCGCGCUUCGGCGCCGCCGAGGACACUUAAACUCUUUGUUUUUAUAAGCAUUUCUGAGUGCCCGAAAGGAAAAAUACAAAUGAAUCAAAGCUUUCAACAACGGAUCUCUUGGUUCUG
rnacentral:misc_RNA from 1 species